GGCAGUUCUUGUGUGACACACCCCAGAAUUGAGCUCCCUCCUCUCUGGUUCCGGGUCCAUCACCCGAGAAUCGCA
rfam:Myotis davidii contig33310, whole genome shotgun sequence.